GCAGGCUAGAGUCUCGCUCGUUAUCGGAAUAAACCAGACAAAUCACUCCACCAACUAAGAACGGCCAUGCACCACCAACCACCAAAUCGAGAAAGAGCUUUCAAUCUGUCAGUCCUAAUGGUGUCCGGACCGGGUGAGUUUUCCCGUGUUGAGUCAAAUUAAGCCGCAAGCUCCACGCCUUGUGGUGCCCUUCCGUCAAUUUCUUUAAGUUUCAGCUUUGCAACCAUACUACCCCCGGAACCGAAAGACUUUCGUUUCCGGAUAGCUCCUCGGCAGGGCAAAAACCCUCCGAAUCGCGAGAUGGCAUCGUUUACGGUCAGAACUAGGGCGGUAU
ensembl:ncRNA F31C3.15 ncRNA